UGUUCAGGGUGCAGUUCCACACCUGCGCCAUCCACGACCUCGGGGUGGUGUUUGGGAAAAACGAGCUGGAUGAGACCUUCAAAGGUAACGGCUCUCCGGAUGAAAGGUUCCCAGAAUAUGGGAAGGUGGAGUUUGUUUUCUCAUAUGGACCAGAAAAAAUCAAAGGCCUGGGCCACCUGGAGAACGGGCCGA